UACGUAGGGUGCAAGCGUUAAUCGGAAUUACUGGGCGUAAAGCGUGCGCAGGCGGCUUUGCAAGACAGAUGUGAAAUCCCCGGGCUCAACCUGGGAACUGCAUUUGUGACUGCAAGGCUGGAGUACGGUAGAGGGGGAUGGAAUUCCGCGUGUAGCAGUGAAAUGCGUAGAUAUGCGGAGGAACACCGAUGGCGAAGGCAGCCUCCUGGGCCAGCACUGACGCUCAUGCACGAAAGCGUGGGGAGCAAACAGG
rnacentral:rRNA from 1 species